rnacentral:rRNA from 1 species
UGGGCGCAAGCCUGAUGCAGCGACGCCGCGUGAGGGAUGACGGCCUUCGGGUUGUAAACCUCUUUCAGUAGGGAAGAAGCGAAAGUGACGGUACCUGCAGAAGAAGCGCCGGCUAACUACGUGCCAGCAGCCGCGGUAAUACGUAGGGCGCAAGCGUUAUCCGGAAUUAUUGGGCGUAAAGAGCUCGUAGGCGGUUUGUCGCGUCUGCUGUGAAAGACCGGGGCUCAACUCCGGUUCUGCAGUGGGUACGGGCAGACUAGAGUGCAGUAGGGGAGACUGGAAUUCCUGGUGUAGCGGUGAAAUGCGCAGAUAUCAGGAGGAACACCGAUGGCGAAGGCAGGUCUCUGGGCUGUAACUGACGCUGAGGAGCGAAAGCAUGGGGAGCGAACAGGAUUAGAUACCCUGGUAGUCCAUGCCGUAAACGUUGGGCACUAGGUGUGGGGGACAUUCCACGUUUUCCGCGCCGUAGCUAACGCAUUAAGUGCCCCGCCUGGGGAGUACG